CAAUCAAGAUCAACAAUAGUCCAAGAUAUCCUUUUGAGUGCAGCACCCAAUAAUUGCUUCUUCUUAGACAACAUGGCAGGUUAAUAUUCUAAAAUUAUGAGAAAAGAGGAUACAAAAAAUUACGAAUUUAUAUAUCAGAUGAUUGAAACCCUAGACAUACAUGGAUAAAUAGUUGAAUACGUACAUACUAAAUAUAGAAUAAAAUAUACUACAGAAAUGGUCAAAUUGGGGUUUGGGGGCAUGGAUCGGGAACAUAGGUGGAUCAUCGAUACGUUCAUACGUACUGCUCCUGCUCCUGAUGGAUGAGUAGAUCAUGGAUACGUACCAGUAUUACUGCUGAUUACUGCUGCUGAAGUGACGAUGGAUGGAUAUUGGAUGGAUCUUACCGGAUGGCCGGACGCCCGAACCUCAUUGGCUUAGCUCGUACAAUCGUACUGCUGCGGAUUACUGUUGCUGAUGCGUGCUGGAUGCCGGAUGGGCGGACUGCCGUGCGGUGCCUUUUGGCGGCGGCCGAUCGAGGCGACAAGACGCCGAGCGACCUCGACAGGCAGGCCGACGAAGCGACGGGCAGAAGAAAGCUAGCGUGACUCUUGCUAUGCGGAUGGCUAGCGUGACGCUUA
rnacentral:lncRNA from 1 species